UGUAGCGCAGCUGGCAGCGCGCAUGCUUUGGGAGCAUGAGGCCGCCGGUUCGAAUCCGGCGCGGACAU
rnacentral:tRNA from 1 species